GUUUGUGUGUUUGUUUGUGUAUUUGUUUGCUUGUUAGUGUUUGUUUUAUUUUGUGAUAUGCAGGAUGUUGAUGGUUGAUGUCGUUUGCUGUUGUUUGUUGUGACGCUUAGGUUUUUCUUAAAUAAUUCCUUCUACCUUUUUGUAUGUAUGAAAUACUCCAUAUAAAUUUACUAUAGAGAAAAUCAUGAACAAUCAUGGUAUCUUUUAAUGUUCCUUUGAAUUUCAAUUAUACAUUUAUUUUGUUUAUUGUAUACCCGUAUUAAAUAAGAUGAGUAACACACUGUGGUAUAUUGGUGGAUCUUCCAAAUGUUCCUAAAAAUGUUUCCGAAUUAUUAAUUUCUAUUUUUUUUUCAAGAAUGGAAACCGAGCCGCAGAGUCACUAAGAAACUACCUACUGUACAAAAUAUCUGUUAAGAGUACAUACAGUAUAAGUCCUUAUCAGUAGAUAUGAUAAUCCGGAACUUGCAUCUUGUUAUUGAACACAUUUAGACAAGGUUUCUUGAUGGUCUCGGUCCUCCCAAACUCUUUACAGACGCUGUUACGAUUUGGUUGAC
rnacentral:lncRNA from 1 species